AGAGUUUGAUCCUGGCUCAGGAUGAACGCUGACAGAAUGCUUAACACAUGCAAGUCAACUUGAAUUUGGGUUUUUAACUUAGGUUUGGGUGGCGGACGGGUGAGUAACGCGUAAAGAACUUGCCUCACAGCUAGGGACAACAUUUGGAAACGAAUGCUAAUACCUGAUAUUAUGAUUUUAAGGCAUCUUAGAAUUAUGAAAGCUAUAAGCACUGUGAGAGAGCUUUGCGUCCCAUUAGCUAGUUGGAGAGGUAACAGCUCACCAAGGCGAUGAUGGGUAGCCGGCCUGAGAGGGUGAACGGCCACAAGGGGACUGAGACACGGCCCUUACUCCUACGGGAGGCAGCAGUGGGGAAUAUUGGACAAUGGACCGAGAGUCUGAUCCAGCAAUUCUGUGUGCACGAUGAAGUUUUUCGGAAUGUAAAGUGCUUUCAGUUGGGAAGAAAGAAAUGACGGUACCAACAGAAGAAGUGACGGCUAAAUACGUGCCAGCAGCCGCGGUAAUACGUAUGUCACGAGCGUUAUCCGGAUUUAUUGGGCGUAAAGCGCGUCUAGGUGGUUAUGUAAGUCUGAUGUGAAAAUGCAGGGCUCAACUCUGUAUUGCGUUGGAAACUGUAUAACUAGAGUACUGGAGAGGUAAGCGGAACUACAAGUGUAGAGGUGAAAUUCGUAGAUAUUUGUAGGAAUGCCGAUGGGGAAGCCAGCUUACUGGACAGAUACUGACGCUGAAGCGCGAAAGCGUGGGUAGCAAACAGGAUUAGAUACCCUGGUAGUCCACGCCGUAAACGAUGAGUGCUAAGUGUUGGUCUCAUAAGAGAUCAGUGCUGCAGCUAACGCAUUAAGCACUCCGCCUGGGGAGUACGACCGCAAGGUUGAAAC
rnacentral:rRNA from 1 species